UUCCAUUUUUUUUUUUUUUUUUAAAUACACCUAACAGACCUGACCUCAUUUCUAUUUGUGCGCCACCAAUACAACCCUAGCUAUACAACACAAGUAGGAUCAAUCUCUGCUCAAUCAACAGACCUUGUUGAACAACAAUGCUCAAUCAAACGUCAUGUGCUAGGCUGACAGGCUGCCAUAUAAUGGAUAGCCUGUAGUUCCAGAGUUAGUCUAUGCUAGUGUCCUGUCCUCUGAACACCAAAAGUAGGCCUAGCUACACCACCCACUUGUCAACAAGACAGAUAGCAAACUAGUAGCUGAGAGUAAAUUCACCAUAGCUGGCUAUUGAGCAUUCAUUCACUUACAACAUGUCUUUCUUAAAGGUUAAACGAGCAGGUUAAAAGGCACCAACAUAUUCUGACAAGACCUGACCAUGAUAUUUAAAUAAUUGAUGAUAACUCAUUGACUAGCUAGCUAGUCUCAUCGGAAUUCGCUAGCUACUACCGUUACUAGGUUACCUUGGCUGGCUUGUUAGCUGGUGUACCAAUAUUAUCGUAUGACAAACACGGGUUCAUCCAACGCAGCUCUUUAAAUAAUUCAAAGUAGCAGUUGCCACUGCUAGAAAUACAAUACCGUUGGAUCCGUGUAUCUAUUAACGUUACAGGCCUGUUGAAUGACCCAUCUUCGCCGUAGAGGCGUUAACAAAAAACUGUCGAACGUGCAGUAGCUAGCUAACGUUACGACUGGCUAUCUAAUUAGCUAGCUAAAUCUGUUUAGCAACUGAUUCUCGUUCAAAAUGCUUAGAUUACUUGAUCAAUACAGCCCACGAGAGUAUAUUGAAAACUUCAAAAGGACAAGGCAGGAGAGGUUUUGGGGGUUUUAGGUGAACUGGCUAGCCAGGCAAGAUUAGCUAGCGCGGUUAGUUAGCUAACCUAAGCAACCAAUGUGUCGCAUUUGACCUAACUAGCUAAAUUAUUAUUAAUGGUCCUGACCAGGCAGCGAAACAAUCAUAUUUCAGUUUCUAUACACUGCGUCUUCAGUCGAAACUUAAAGGAAUGUCACACACUGCACCACCGUACAACUCGACAACCCACCUCCAACUGGGUAAAAUAACAAGUUAGCCAAGCAGACGGUUAUUCCCUGUUCAGAACCGGUUCCGAAGGCCGGUGGACGUCAAACACUUCACAGCGAUGUCGUCCCGGGAUUGAUGUUUCACUAAUCCCUUCUCUGGUUUCUCUCCAAGCGGACAUUCGCACCGGAAGCGUCGUAGCUGUCUGCCACGUCCACAUCCGGACAGAUCCAACACCAGCACCAAUCCAGAUCCCGGGAUCCAUUACCAGUCCCAGCACCAGACGAGGAACGGAGGAGGGGACAGACCAGACCUUCACCCGGAGCGAGCAGACCACAGGGUAGUGCUACCAUUGACCUCUGGGUCUAGGGUUCCCUUGUGUGUCUGAUUGGUCCUCAGGUUGUCUUUCCUCCCCUCCACAGACCCAUAUCCUGACCCAGAACCUGCAGCAGCCCCAGUUCGCUGUUCCUGUUUUUUUCCCAGUCCCCAGCACCAGCACCAACCCCUGGUCUCCAGUCCCGGCCCCAGCACCAGCACCAUCACGAUUCCCAGUUUCCAGCCCAGCCCAGCCCAGACCCCACCCCUUCCCCACCUCCAAUAAAAGGACACAGACAGACUGGCAGCCACUCCGCCAGACCAUCCACUCAAGCAAAAACGUCAAAACUCAAACAAGCAAAAUCUACUCUCCAAUGAACACUAUCAAAUGAAGACAGACGGCUAGUAAUAGUUUGAAUUUUGGUUAGAAGUUUUUUCCUUUCUUUUGUAAUGAGGCUUUUUUUAUUUUCAUGUAAUAACUGAU